ACACCUCCUAAUAGUGUCACUUCCUGGGCCAAGUGUUUUCAAACCACCAUACUAAGGAAACAAAAGAUGUCUGCAACAAAGACUUUAAAGUGCUCAAUGAAGACCUGGAGAGAUGGCUCGAUGGUUAAGAGCACUUGUUCCUCUUUGCAGAGGACUGAGCUCAGGCCUCAGCAUCUACAUGGUACUCACAACUAUCUGUAACUACAGUUUUAGGAGACCCAGAGGCUUCCUCUGACCGUCAAAGGAGACAGGUGCUCACACAGUACACAUACAUACAUACAUACAUACAUACAUACAUACAUACAUACAUAGGCAAAAAUUCACACACACAAAAUAAUGACAGAAAACACAGCCGUUAUGGGAGUAACCAACUGAGUGAUAAAGUGGGAUACAAGGCCCACUUCGUAGGAGGGAGCUCACGCCCUAAUGGAGGUCUGGUCAAAGACCCAUGGCUAGGGGAGACAUUGGUUCUGGGGGUGAGCCUACUGUGUUUAUUUUGCUAAGUGGACAUAUUGCCAAAUUGCAUCUUAAAUAUUUAUGUUUGCUCUGUGGACUAGUAGCAUCCUUAAGGUUUGUUCAAAGAAUUUUGUCUUCACAGGGAACCAUGUUUAACACAAACUCAUGAUUGGUGACAAUGUGAGAACCAGUUACAAUGCAUGCUCAACCUUUCACAAAACAGCCCUAUUAUCUCCUGCACAGCUUGGAGAACAUUGGGGAAGAGGCAGGAGAAAGAAUUGAAGAUCUGACUGGUAGAGAGAAGGGACAAAAGGUGCUGUCAUGUGGGCAUGAUAUGACUGCCACACCCACAAACUCAUAAUGGCUACAGUUGUCUGCACAAGCCGGAGCCCCAAAACAUCCAAUCAUAGAUGGGGGAGAGUUUCAUAGGAUCCCCCAAUCCAGGGAGUAUGGCAGUGGAAGGCUGCAGGGGUGGGGAAGAGGAAAUCACUGUCUUCAGUGAUGUAGCUUUUUCUGAGUUAUCCAUAAUGCAGUGGACUCUCCACACUCAAGCCCAUGCUAAUGGCACUCAUUAGAGCUGGUGGAUCACGAUGCAGAAACAAGAGGGAUGGAGCUUGGAACAGGAGGAAGGUAAGAAAGAGCGAAGGAAUGAUGGUGAACAGAAUGUAUUAUACAUAUGUAUCAACUUGUCAAAGAAUAAAUUAAUAAAAUAAAUAAGAGAGCAAUUGAAAAAGGCACCCACACAGACCUCAGAGCUCUACACACCUGAGUGUAUGCUGAGCAUGUAUGUACAUGCACACACGUGUGUGCACCUCACACCACACAGACCUCAGAGCUCUAUGCUUUAGUGCAUACUGAGCACAUAUGUACAUGCACACACAUGUGUGCACCUCAUACCACACAGACCUUUGAACUCUACAUCUGAUCACAUGCUGAGCAUAUAUACAGAUGCAUACACAUGUGUACACCUCACAUCACACAGACCUCAGAGCUCUACACACCUGAGUGCAUGCUAAGCGUAUAUGCACAUGCACACACACGUGUGCACCUCAUACCACACAGACCUCAAAGCUCUACACAACUGAGUGCAUGCUGAGCAUGUAUGUACAUGCAGACACAUGUGUACACCACACACACACACACACACACACACACGCACACACACACACACGUCGAGGAGGUGAGUAUACUUCAGUUUAGUUAAGUAGAAAUCUGACUUCGACUAUUCUUCCUGUAAGUCGGUGGUUCUCAAGCUUCGUGGCACUGCAACACUUUAAUGGAGUCCAUGUUGUGGUAACCCACAACCAUAAAAUUAUCCUAGUUGCUACUUCAUAACUGUAGUUUUGUUACUGUUAUGAACCGUGGUGUAAAUAUUUUUGGAGAUAAGAGAUUCGCCAAAACGGUUGCCACUCACAGGUUGAGAACCACUGCUAUAACUCAAUAUUAACUCUUACCUGACAAGACAGACAUCAUGAUGUUUAUCAAAGAUUCUAAUGGAGUUUGGGUUGGUAGAGAAAAUCUUUGCGUUAGUAAAAUUUCAUACUAAUCAAUUACUUUAACACUAUGAAAUAUUUUGCAACUCACGUCUGCCUAAAGCAGGACUCUAAAAUACGAAGAUGACGUGUAAUUCCUCAGUCGCACCACUGGGUGGAGCCAUUUCCACAGCAAAGAUACAACGAAGCGAGAGAGAGAUCAAAGUUGGGGAGGUGGCCUUCGACGACAAUGACGACGACGACGACGACAUAGCACACAUGUUUACAGAAAGAAGAUGAAGCAAGGGCAUGCCUGGCGCCAACAGAGGUCCAAGGAGGUCGUCGGAUUUGCUGCAUUUGGAGUUACCAGAUAAUGGGCUGUCACAGUUUCAGGCAUCGCCCACAGCUUUGCCCAUGGGUGGUCGGAUGUGAACUCAGGUCCUCAUGCUUGGGAAGCAAGCUCUUCACUGACUGAGCUGUCUCUCCACUCCCCUGUAGCUUGCACUGUUGUCAUCCUGCCUCAGUCCCUGUUCUCCACAGUGGAUUCACCACGAACGAAAUAGUCCACUGUAGCGGAAGUCACCUCAGUGGCUGACUGGUGGGAUGCGAGUCCAGGGUGGCGUCCAGAGGGAUUCACAAGGACUAUGGUGCUCAGAGCAAGAAUGUUUUCUGCUGUCUUUGGAACUUUGUCUGCAAACAGCUCAAAGGAGAUGAAGCCCAAGGACUCACCAUUGGCCUUGAUGUGGAAGAACACGGUGGCCAUGUCUGCAGCAAGCGACGAAAAGUGAUAGCAGCAUCUGUCUAGUUGUAAUUCUACAACUAAUGCCCUGUACACUUUGAAUUUCCAAGACUGCUCAGCACAGCAGCAUGGAUGGUGGGUCCGUUGGUCCAUUGGAAGAAUGCUGCUGUACCUGUCAAUCUGUAUGUCCUCAUACUCCUCAGGGUGUAGAUUUCUCUCCAUCCUUCUCCUAGACACCCAUGUUUUCUCUGUAAUUACAAGGGUAGACCAAGAUUUGCCAGGGUGCCUUCAUGGAUUCCUGCCCCCACCAAAUGAAGGCACUAGAGAAAAAUGAACAGUCAAGAAUAUUGGCUGCUCUUCCAGAGGACUGGGGUUU
rnacentral:sRNA from 1 species